GUGGGGAAUUUUGGACAAUGGGCGAAAGCCUGAUCCAGCCAUGCCGCGUGCAGGAUGAAGGCCUUCGGGUUGUAAACUGCUUUUGUACGGAACGAAAAGACUCCUUCUAAUAAAGGGGGUCCAUGACGGUACCGUAAGAAUAAGCACCGGCUAACUACGUGCCAGCAGCCGCGGUAAUACGUAGGGUGCAAGCGUUAAUCGGAAUUACUGGGCGUAAAGCGUGCGCAGGCGGUUAUAUAAGACAGAUGUGAAAUCCCCGGGCUCAACCUGGGAAGUGCAUUUGUGACUGUAUAGCUAGAGUACGGUAGAGGGGGAUGGAAUUCCGCGUGUAGCAGUGAAAUGCGUAGAUAUGCGGAGGAACACCGAUGGCGAAGGCAAUCCCCUGGACCUGUACUGACGCUCAGGCACGAAAGCGUGGGGAGCAAACAGGAUUAGAUACCCGUGUAGUCC
rnacentral:rRNA from 1 species